AAAGAAAUGAUGAUAUAAUUUAUUAAGUAUAAAUCAAAUAACAUUAAAAUACUUUACGAAAUUUAAUUAAUAUAGAAUAAAUAAAUUUUUGAAUUUCACUGAGAAGAUACUUAUAAAAUAUAUUUUGAAUUUUUUUUUCAGCAUGAGAUUUCAUUACACAGAGACACUGUUAUGAUACAUUGAUCAUUCAUGAUUAUUAACAUCACGAAUUAAUUUUUUUUUAGUUUGACAAAACACUUUUAAAAUAAAAAUAUAUACAUACAAUCUUGUCUGUUCAUUCAUAAACAAUGAUAUAAAAAAAUUAUGCAGUUUUUGUAUUUGUGGACUAUAUAUAUGUUUUUUGAAAAUUCCAAAUCAUAAUUGUUUAUUGUAAUAUCAAUGACGUCAUCAUCAACUCUUGUUAAUAUUUGGUCCAACAUUCAAAUUGAACAAGUAAAAAAACGAAAUGGAUUCACUCGAAAAAUCGUUCAUCCCCAUGUUUUACAAAAAUCUCAAUUACAUAACAACAAUAACUACAAAUGGAAAAUAAUUUGGCCAAAUGUGAUUGCGCUAAUAAUUUUACACUUGAGUGCAUUUUAUGGAAUUCAUUUAGUUUAUGCUGGAUAUCUAUAUGGGAAAACAAUAUUAUUUGGUUUCCUAGUUUGUUUCUGUGUUUAUAUAGGUGUAGCAAUAGGUGCUCAUAGACUUUGGUCUCUUCAAUGUUUCAAGGCUUGUUUUUCUUUGCGAGUACUAUUAGCAAUUUUUCAAACGUUAUCGUUCCAAAACUCAAUAUACAAAUGGGUUCUCGACUAUCGAGUGCAUCAUACAUUUUUUAACACGAAUGCAGAUCCUUACAAUUCAACACGUGGAUUUUUCUUUUCGUAUCUAGGCUGGUUUUUAAUUCAGAGACAUAAGGACGUAUUCGAAAAUGGUAGAUCAAUCAGUAUGUACGAUGUAGAAGCUGAUCCUAUUAUUAUGUGGCAAAAAAGGCAAAGAGUGACAAUCUCUGGCACCCCGUCUUCACAUCUCCUAUGUUGUUCGUGUGUGACCGCUUCGAACGUGUCUCCAAGGCGUCCCUUCUUUUUUGUCCGUUUAUAACCAUCACUUAAGAACGAAAUGUAUUUUAUUUCUUUUAUAUUUUCAGCAUAAAAAUUGUACUUUAUUUUUGGAGUUAAUAUACGGUUUUUACGCAUACUCUAUAAACUACGCUUAGUAGCUUGUCUUUUUGUUGUGCCAAUGACACCUUUUUAUUUUUUCCGCGACAGGACUUAAAAAAAUUAUAUUGGUAAAAUAAAUAGUGUAUUAAUAUUAGUACGAAUCGGUUCACACUAUUUUUACAUUACGACGCCUUACCUGUCCUGGGGUUGUUAAAUAAAAAAUUAACAUGGAGCACUCAUAUUCAUAAAAAAAAAAUUUCUUUAAAUUUAUUUCUUUGUUUACAACGGCCGUUCUUAAUAAACAUCAGAAAUACUAACCUAAAACCAAAAUCAUCAUUUAUAAAUUACUUAUUAAAUUAAUUUAGACAAAUGGUAUACAAUUAUGGAGCAACGAAAUGAAAUAUAAUAUUAUUAAAAUUUAAAAAUUAUAGAUCAUUGCUCUAAGAAAAAUAAUAACACUCCUUUUUAGAUAUCAAUCUAUAAAUACAUAAAGACCUCCAUAUAAAAACUGUAACUGUAGUAGCUGUUCAAUUUUACAAGCACUUCUAUACCACAUUACAAAAUAAUCACAAUAUUCUUAUUAAUAAUUUGUAUAGUAGUGCAAUACCAAUCAAUCCUAGACGGUGACUAAAAAUACAGUGGUUGUCAUGGCUAAUUAAUAAAAUAAUUAAAUUUCUACAAAUUUAAUUCACUUGUAUUUUUGUGUUAUAUUAAUACAUAAUUAUUGUUAAAACCCAGCACAGUGAAAUAUAUUGAGUGUUCAGUAAGUAAUGAAACGGAUUUUUAUUGUUCUCAUUAUUUGUAAAAAUUGACCUGUUUCCUUACAUACUGAACUCUCAAUAUAGUUGACAUACGUAAAUUUUUAUCCCUUUUUGAACUUUAUUUUUGUCGGAUUUUUUGAAAAAGCAUACAAAUAUAAAGUUUAUUGUCUCUAGUAUACUCUAUUAAAAUCUCAUUUGGAUCAGUGUUUUUCAAAAAAAAUUACAUCGGUUUAAAAAGAAAAAAAUUUGUUUUGAAAAUGUUACAUUUUACGGUAGCGUAGUUUUGAGUUAUAUUUUUAAAACAAAAUUCAAGUUCUAUAAUCCAAGUGCCUUUGCCAAAUUCUUAACGCUUCAUCUUACAUAUUAAACGAAAUAAUCAUAAAGACCUCCACCUUCAUACUGUUAAACAAACUGCUAUCUCUCAAUAUAAACACAUUCACAACAGUCUCCAAUAUCAUUCAAACCCUCUUAUUAAAAAUCUGUCCUCUAUCACAAUUUCAGAUAACCCUUCUUACCGCUUAAAAAUAUCCUCGUGCAGAGACCUUCUUCAACAAUAAAUAUAAGUUAAUAUAAUUAUAAUUCUUAUUUAACCCAAAAAUGUAAUAUAAACGUUGCAAUUUAAGUUACUAGUGUCAGUAGUAGUUUCUCCAUUGAAAGGACUCUACACAAGAUAUUCGUUGUUACAUGUAUAUAUUGUUAAUCGUAAAUAAUUAUUGUAUAUUUAUUCAGAUUGUAUUUUUAUUUUAAAUAAAAAAAUAUGUAUACAUAUAUUUAAAUUUCUAAAAACGUGGGGGUUUUCCAAAUUUUUGUUGUUCCAUGCUACAUUAAAAUCAGGUUAAUUUGUUAUAUUGAUUAUUAAAAUCAGUCCACUGAGAGCUGCGAAUUUUCAUGGAUAAAUAAUAUAGUUAAAAAAAAGCUAAAAAACACUCUUUUAAAGCACAUCGAAGUAAAAAGUUCAAAAUAAUUUUUAAAAUAAGCUUAAAACAAUAAUGAACGAAAAGUACUUGAAUUACCAACCAGCAUACCUUGAGAUCCAAUUAGUUUAUAAACAUAUAUAAAAUUUCAAUAUAAUUAAAUACUUGAUAUCGUUGUUCAUCGAGAUUCAAUAUUUUAUUGGUCACGAAAUAGUCCUUCUAAUGAGAUAUAAUUAUAUAGUCAGUGUAGACACGUUUAGGAACAGGAUAACCAAUUGAUAGGAUACCAGUGUGAUAGCACGUUACACAGGUAUAUAACUUGUAUUGAAAAAAAAUGAAAUUGUAGAAUCGCUAUUAUUCAUCAAAUAGCUACAUAUUUUGAAUUACGAUGUAACUUUU